GGAUAUUGGGCGUAAGCGCGCGCAGGUGGUUUCUUAAGUCUGAUGUGAAAGCCCACGGCUCAACCGUGGAGGGUCAUUGGAACUGGGAGACUUGAGUGCAGAAGAGGAAAGUGGAAUUCCAUGUGUAGCGGUGAAAUGCGUAUAGAUAUGGAGGAUCACCAGUGGCGAAGGCGACUUUCUGGUCUGUAACUGACACUGAGGCGCGAAAGCGUGGGGAGCAAACAGGAUUAGAUACCCUGGUAGUCCACGCCGUAAACGAUGAGUGCUAAGUGUUAGAGGGUUUCCGCCCUUUAGUGCUGAAGUUAACGCAUUAAGCACUCCGCCUGGGGAGUACGGCCGCAAGGCUGAAACUCAAAGGAAUUGACGGUGCCCGCCCAAGCGGUGAAGCAUGUGGUUAAUUCGAGCACGCGAAGACUUACCAGGUCUUGACAUCCUCUGAAACCUAAAAUAGGGUUCUCCUUCGGAGCAAAUGAAGGUGGUGCUGGUUGCCCCACUCAUUCGAGAAUGUUGUUAAUCCCCCACAAGGGAACCUUGUUUUAUUGCACCUUUAUUUGCCCCCUAAGUACUGCCGGAAAACCCUAGAAGGGGGAGAACGAAAUCUCUGGCCCUUUGACGGGAAACCGUUUUAUUUGGAGGUAAAAAACCCAAACGGGGGGACUUAUCUCUAAACUUUCCUUCAAUUAAGCCCCCCCCCCUUUACCGAAUCUAAAACCGGACCCCCCCAGGAAUUUCGGAAAAAA
rnacentral:rRNA from 1 species